rnacentral:rRNA from 1 species
UGCGCAGGCGGACUUUUAAGUCAGUGGUGAAAUCCCGAGGCUCAACCUCGGAACUGCCAUUGAUACUGGAAGUCUUGAACUUGGUUGAAGUGGGCGGAAUGUAGCAUGUAGCGGUGAAAUGCUUAGAUAUGCUACAGAACACCGAUCGCGAAGGCAGCUCACUAAGCCAAUAUUGACGCUCAGGCACGAAAGCGUGGGGAGCAAACAGGAUUAGAUACCCUGGUAGUCC